rnacentral:rRNA from 1 species
UUUAAGCUUGCUUAGAUGAGUCGAGUGGCAAACGGGUGAGUAACGCGUAGACAACCUGCCGCAAAGAUGGGGACAACAGUCCGAAAGGACUGCUAAUACCGAAUGUUAUCAGAUUCCCGCAUGGGAGACUGAUUAAAGAUGGCCUCUACUUGUAAGCUAUCGCUUUGCGAUGGGUCUGCGUCUGAUUAGCUAGUUGGUGGGGUAACGGCCUACCAAGGCGACGAUCAGUAGCCGGUCUGAGAGGAUGAACGGCCACAUUGGAACUGAGACACGGUCCAGACUCCUACGGGAGGCAGCAGUGGGGAAUCUUCCGCAAUGGGCGAAAGCCUGACGGAGCAACGCCGCGUGAGUGAAGAAGGGUUUCGGCUCGUAAAGCUCUGUUGACGGGGACGAACGUGCGAGAUGCGAAUAGUUUCUUGUAAUGACGGUACCCGUCGAGGAAGCCACGGCUAACUACGUGCCAGCAGCGGC